rnacentral:sRNA from 1 species
GCUGGGUGUGGUGGUGUAUGCCUGUCAUCCCAGUAACUGCGGAGGUUGAGGCAGGAUGAUUGAUUGCAAGUUUGAGGCCAGCCUCAGCAAAGUAUUGAGGCCCUAAGAAACUCAGUGAGACCCUGUCUUAA